rnacentral:tRNA from 1 species
GCCACCGUAGCUCAGUUGGUAGAGCAAUUGAUUCGUAAUCAAUAGGUCUGCGGUUCGAAUCCGCACGGUGGCU